GACGAACGCUGGCGGCGUGCCUAAUACAUGCAAGUCGAGCGAAUCAGUAGGAGCUUGCUCCUAUUGGUUAGCGGCGGACGGGUGAGUAACACGUGGGCAACCUGCCUGUAAGACUGGGAUAACUUCGGGAAACCGGAGCUAAUACCGGAUAAUCCUUUUCCUCUCAUGAGGAAAAGCUGAAAGACGGUUUCGGCUGUCACUUACAGAUGGGCCCGCGGCGCAUUAGCAGUUGGUGAGGUAAUGGCUCACCAAGGCAACGAUGCGUAGCCGACCUGAGAGGGUGAUCGGCCACACUGGGACUGAGACACGGCCCAGACUCCUACGGGAGGCAGCAGUAGGGAAUCUUCCACAAUGGACAAAGUCUGAUGGAGCAACGCCGCGUGAGCGAUGAAGGCC
rnacentral:rRNA from 1 species